ACCCCAAACUUACUGAAGUAGGUAGAUUUCCCCUUUAGGGUUCUCUGUCAUCUUUCUCAGCCACAUCACAAGACCCAUAGUCCAAAGUGUCCAUUAACCCAGCUUUCCAGUGGGGGACAUCCUAACACUGACCAAAUAUUAACACACUUCAUAGAGUCUUCUAAUCUGUGAGCUGGCGAUACUCCAGACCCUGAGUCCUCACCCUCACUGCACAGAUAAGGAAGCCAGCGUCUAGGGACUGGCCCUGGUUUCAAAACCUUUUUUUUUCUCCUGUGGUUCUAUGACUAAACAGCACAGUGCCGACCCAUGCUGGUCUGGCGCAGGCUCAAUCUUGUGGUUCAGGAAGAACCAAAGCCCUCCCACCCCACCCCCAAGGCUUCAGUGUAGCAGACACCCCACUGAACUAAUUAGGACCCACCUCUCUAGAACUGCAGACUCACUGGCAUUAAUUAGACACGCAGGAGCAUUUUCUUCCAGUAAUGAAGAGAAUAACACAGAGGAGUCUCGCUGAAGGCCGGAGCAUGGUAUUUCAUAAAGGUUACCUUCUCCACACGGGAGGAAUGAAGAUCCAGGGGCUGGGUUUCAAUCUAGACUUCUCUCCUCCCUUUGGGCUCUGAAGUCAGUUGGAGCUUGCUUGGUUCUUUGGUUUGCUUCUUUGUACUGAGUGGGAGGUGGACUCAGGAAACUCAGGUCUUCCAGGCCAAGGGCUCUGGAGAAGGCCACAAGGAAAGUGACCCAGACACAGCAUGCACAUACGUCUGUCAUCUGUAAAUGAUCAUACUACAUACCACACCUGUGUUCAUAUGGAAAGAUGGGAAGAUACACAAACAUGCCACACAAAUUUAAGCACACACACACACACAAACACACAGUCACACACACGUGUAGUCACAAACAUUUGUGCAUAAGUGCACACCCAAAGGCACAUGUACACACAUGCCACACUUAAAGUGGCAAUCUCUCUCUGUUUCUAUCUUCUCUUUCUGUCUCUGUCACUCUGUCUUUCUCUCUCUCUUGCUCACAGACACACACACACACAUUUGCGGUUGUCAUAGUCCCCAGUGUUUGUUCCCAGUGACUGGCUGGCUCAGCAGAAAAUCUGGCUGAGUUGCAAGCUUCUGUUUGGAAGGUGGGCGUUGCCGUGUGCAAAUACAUCUCAGGUUCAGGAAAACACAGGUGGAGGGAAGCCAAGGGCACGUGCUGGGGUGGGCGGGGGUUCUUUGUCUUCACUCCCCAGAAGAAUAACUUCCAAAAUUGGAACAGCAUUUCACCUAUUAACCCCGACGAUGUUGUGUUUCUCAGCCCACAGAGCCUCUGAUGAACCCGGUGGGUGCCAACCUGCUGGGCACACCCUCCUCUGUGAUGUAAUCUUUUGUUGACAACAUGUUCUGAACACACCCGUGGUAGACAGGACAAAUCGGCAACCCGAGAGCAAUCUUAAUUUCAACAUACACGGAGGAGUCACAAGUUAGGGCAGGCUCCAAGGGUCAAACUCAGGUUGCCAGGGUUACAGCACAUCUUUACACAUCAAUCCAUCAUGUUUGUCCUCCAAAAACUUUUGAAAACAACACUAAACCCUUUAAACUCUCCUAUGAGAUGCCACUGUGACCCUUCUGGGAAGAGAGAAAUGUCCACUGCAACAUCCGGUCAGCUGUUUGAAGUCCUAGAAGCACACACUGGUCUCAAACCAGCUCCAGACAGGAUCCAGAUGCAAUGGCUGUGUAUGAGGUGUCCCCCAAAAGGCUCUAGUGGAGAAGGCUUGGAUCCCCGCUGGUGAGCCCAUCAUGGAGAGAUGAUUCAAUCAUGAGAACUCUGACGCCCCUCUGUGGAUCAAUCCACUAAUGGAGUCAUAGUUGGAUACAUUACUGGGAGGAGUGUCUCUGCCUUGUCCUCACCCUCUCUGCCAUGACGCUUUCACCUCAGGCCUAAAGCAAUGGAGUCAGCCAUGUGCUACAGCUUCUGGUACCGUAGGCUGAAUGCAUCUUUCCUCCUCCAAACUUUCUCUCAGGCAUUUCCACAGCGACAGAAGACUGAUCACCACAAGCUCUUCUGCGUUCAGCCAAGGUGUGCAGAGCGUGGAAGCAAUCGUCCAGUGUUGUGGCCGCCAGCAGCUCGCAACGUGAACGGUUCGACUGAGAAGGCCGCUCGAGCUG